UGGCCUGACCAUGGGGAAGCAAAAGAAAACAAGGAAGUAUGUGACCAUGAAGCGAAUGCUUAGUCUCAGAGAUCAGAAGCUUAAAGAAAAGGGUAGAUUAAAACCUAAAAAGAAAAGAAGGAUUCCAGCAUGUUAAAGGAAACAGAAGUUCCUCAACACCCUUCCUGCUUAUUUUCCAAUAUAAUACACAGCUGGGCCCACCUUUCCACAUCGUCAUUGAUACCAACAUUAUCAACGUUUCCAUAAAAGCCAAACUGGACUUAGUGCAGUCAAUGAUGGACUGUCUGUAUGCCAACUGUAUCCCUUGUAUAACUGAUUAGAUAAUGGCUGAAACUGAGAAAUUGGGGCAGAAGUAUCAAGUGGCUCUAAGGAUCGCCAAGGAUCCAAGAUUUGAACGUUUACCAUGUACACACAAAGGAACCUAUGUAGAUGACUGCUUAUUACAGAGAGUAACUCACCAUAAGUGUUACGUUGUGGCCACAGUUGACCCGGACCUUAAAAUAAGAAUCCAUAAGAUUCCUGGAGUUUCUAUCACAUACAUUUCUAACCAUAGAUACAAUGUUGAACAGAUGUCAGAUGAUUAUGGAGCCCCUUGA